rnacentral:rRNA from 1 species
GGCGCACGGUGGAUGCCUUGGCACUAGAAGCCGAUGAAGGACGUUACUAACGACGAUAUGCUUUGGGGAGCUGUAAGUAAGCUUUGAUCCAGAGAUUUCCGAAUGGGGAAACCCAGCAUGAGUUAUGUCAUGUUAUCGAUAUGUGAAUACAUAGCAUAUCAGAAGGCACACCCGGAGAACUGAAACAUCUUAGUACCCGGAGGAAGAGAAAGAAAAUUCGAUUCCCUUAGUAGCGGCGAGCGAAACGGGAAGAGCCCAAACCAACAAGCUUGCUUGUUGGGGUUGUAGGACACUCUAUACGGAGUUACAAAGGACGACAUUAGACGAAUCAUCUGGAAAGAUGAAUCAAAGAAGGUAAUAAUCCUGUAGUCGAAAAUGUUGUCUCUCUUGAGUGGAUCCUGAGUACGACGGAGCACGUGAAAUUCCGUCGGAAUCUGGGAGGACCAUCUCCUAAGGCUAAAUACUCUCUAGUGACCGAUAGUGAACCAGUACCGUGAGGGAAAGGUGAAAAGCACCCCGGAAGGGGAGUGAAAUAGAACCUGAAACCGUGUGCUUACAAGUAGUCAGAGCCCGUUAAUGGGUGAUGGCGUGCCUUUUGUAGAAUGAACCGGCGAGUUACGAUUUGAUGCAAGGUUAAGCAGUAAAUGUGGAGCCGUAGCGAAAGCGAGUCUGAAUAGGGCGUUUAGUAUUUGGUCGUAGACCCGAAACCAGGUGAUCUACCCUUGGUCAGGUUGAAGUUCAGGUAACACUGA